AUUGAACGCUGGCGGCAGGCUUAACACAUGCAAGUCGAGCGGAGAUGAGGUGCUUGCACCUUAUCUUAGCGGCGGACGGGUGAGUAAUGCUUAGGAAUCUGCCUAUUAGUGGGGGACAACAUUCCGAAAGGAAUGCUAAUACCGCAUACGCCCUACGGGGGAAAGCAGGGGAUCUUCGGACCUUGCGCUAAUAGAUGAGCCUAAGUCGGAUUAGCUAGUUGGUGGGGUAAAGGCCUACCAAGGCGACGAUCUGUAGCGGGUCUGAGAGGAUGAUCCGCCACACUGGGACUGAGACACGGCCCAGACUCCUACGGGAGGCAGCAGUGGGGAAUAUUGGACAAUGGGCGGAAGCCUGAUCCAGCCAUGCCGCGUGUGUGAAGAAGGCCUUUUGGUUGUAAAGCACUUUAAGCGAGGAGGAGGCUACCUGGAUUAACACUCUAGGAUAGUGGACGUUACUCGCAGAAUAAGCACCGGCUAACUCUGUGCCAGCAGCCGCGGUAGAAC
rnacentral:rRNA from 1 species